CAGUAGCCGCGGGAAUACGUAGGGUGCGAGCGUUAAUCGGAAUUACUGGGCGUAAAGCGUGCGCAGGCGGUUGUAUAAGACAGGUGUGAAAUCCCUGGGCUUAACCUGGGAACUGCGCUUGUGACUGCACAGCUAGAGUAUGGCAGAGGGGGGUGGAAUUCCACGUGUAGCAGUGAAAUGCGUAGAGGUGUGGAGGAACACCGAUGGCGAAGGCAGCCCCCUGGGCCAAUACUGACGCUCAUGCACGAAAGCGUGGGGAGCAAACAGGAUUAGAUACCCCUGUAGUCCCUGUCUCUUAUAC
rnacentral:rRNA from 1 species